rnacentral:rRNA from 1 species
UGCGAAAGCAGGUCAUAGUGAUCCGGUGGUUCUGAAUGGAAGGGCCAUCGCUCAACGGAUAAAAGGUACUCCGGGGAUAACAGGCUGAUACCGCCCAAGAGUUCAUAUCGACGGCGGUGUUUGGCACCUCGAUGUCGGCUCAUCACAUCCUGGGGCUGAAGUAGGUCCCAAGGGUAUGGCUGUUCGCCAUUUAAAGUGGUACGCGAGCUGGGUUUAGAACGUCGUGAGACAGUUCGGUCCCUAUCUGCCGUGGGCGCUGGAGAACUGAGGGGGGCUGCUCCUAGUACGAGAGGACCGGAGUGGACGCAUCACUGGUGUUCGGGUUGUCAUGCCAAUGGCACUGCCCGGUAGCUAAAUGCGGAAGAGAUAAGUGCUGAAAGCAUCUAAGCACGAAACUUGCCCCG